AACGUAGGAGACAAACGUUAUCCGGAGUUACUGGGCGUAAAGGGCGUGUAGGCGGUUUGUUAAGUCUGUUGUGAAAGCCCCGGGCUACAACCCCGGGGAAGUGGCACUCGAUACUGUCGAGCUAGAGUAUCGGAGAGGUUGGUGGAAUUCUCGGUGUAGAGGUGAAAUUCGUAGAUAUCGAGAGGAACACCGGUGGCGAAGGCGGCCAACUGGACGAAUACUGACGCUGAGACUCGAAAGCGUGGGGAGCAAACAGG
rnacentral:rRNA from 1 species